rnacentral:tRNA from 3 species
CGCGGAGUGGAGCAGUUGGCAGCUCGUUGGGCUCAUAACCCAAAGGUCGUAGGUUCGAGUCCUGCCUCCGCAACCA